UACGUAGGGGACGAGCGUUGUCCGGAUUCAUUGGGCGUAAAGCGCGCGUAGGCGGUUUGGUAAGUCGGAUGUGAAAACCAGAGGCUCAACCUCUGGCCUGCAUCCGAUACUGAUCGACUCGAAGGCAGGAGAGGGUAGUGGAAUUCCCGGUGUAGUGGUGAAAUGCGUAGAGAUCGGGAGGAACACCCGUGGCGAAGGCGGCCAUCUGGACCAGCACUGACGCUGAGGCACGAAAGCGUGGGGAGCGAACAGG
rnacentral:rRNA from 1 species